UGGCAUAUGGAGGUUCCCAGGCUAGGGGUCUAAUCGGAGUCGUAGCCACCUGCCUACGCCAGAGCCACAGCACAACGCGGGAUCUGAGCCGCGUCUGCGACUUACACCACAGCUCACGGCAACGCUGGAUCCUUAACCCACUGAGCAAGAGCAGGGAUCGAACCUGCAACCUCAUGGUUCCUAGUCGGAUUCGUUAACCACUGCACCACGACGGGAACUCCGGAUAGUGUAUUUUAUAAUCAUGUGUUUACUGUCUGUCUCCCAACUAGAAUCUAAAUUCUCUGAGGGCAAGAGUUUUUGUUGGCUUGGUCAGUGCACUAUCCUGGUGUCUGGCCUACAGCAGACACUCAAAUAUUUGCUGAAUGAAUGAAUCAAUGAAUCCAUGUAUUGAUGGGUGAAUGUCUAAGGCCUCUAGCUCUAUAGCUUACGAGAGCUCAGGAUAGGUUUGACGGCUGGCAAGCUGGGCCCGUGGUUUAAUAAUGACGUGGGAGUAGGAGGGGGCUACAAUGUGAGUCUGUGAUUCUUGGAAUCUUUUCUUACUUCCUUUUUCCUUUGGGAUGGAGGAUCCCAGAGCGAGGGGUCACUCUCUCUCUUUCCACUCAGUCGAGCCAAAACAUGAAGACUUUGCUCUUUCUGCCGUGACUGUGACAUCUUUGGUGCUGGCGAUCACAGCCACAUACAUACACACACCAAUAAUGAUAAAACAGUCAAAGACUUUUAUCAAGAUCUUAGAUGCACCAAGCAGCAUUGUAAACUUGGUACCUAUCUUAUCUCAUUUAGAUGACGUAACAGCUUUAAGAAGCAGGUACAAAUUGGAUCGCCCAAUGCAAAUGAAGAAAGUGAGGUUAAAAAGAAAAAAAAAAGGGAUUAGGCAACUUUUCACAGCCAGUAAGAGAAAAGGCCAAAUGUCUCUUAGAUUUUUAGUUUUGGAAAAGGGUCUCUUAACGAGCUGCCACCUAGAAAGUCUCCCUCUCUCUCCUCACUCCUGCCUACAUGUAGUUCAGACUGUAUAGAGCUCCAGAGAGUCCCGCAAAGUCAAGGGCAACUACAUUAACCACAUCCGGCGAGAAAGACCCUAGGUCCCCAGCCCACCCGAGGGGAUGUGAUUCGACCCAAAAUGUAACCAAAUCAGUGACACAACAAGGACCUGUUCCCUCGGUUUCCAGGGAGGGCCAUCUGCAUCCCUCCCAGCUGACUCUUGUUUCCUGCCCGGUUGAAGGACCUGUGUUUGCCUCACACCCUCAACUGAACAACCAGAAUCAUGUAGCAAUUAAUUCACCCCCAGCCUCACUCGUUAACUCAGCUCCAUCUGGUCCACAGGAGUCCUGAUGCCCCAGGUUCUCAACCCCCUCACCUGACAGGUAGCACCUAAAGAAAAAGGGCUUCUGCAGACAUCACAGCAUCUGUACUGCCAAGAAACGGGGAGCCCCCAGGCCUGCGUUGAUGCCCAUCUCCUGCCACCCUGGCAGUGGAACGGACGGGCUGCCUGGGGACCCGCUGCUCCUCUCGCAGGAACAACUGACACGAGGCACUGAGGCCCGGCUCCUAGCAGCCUCCGCCCCCUCCCCAGCUGUGCCAGACCAGAGAAAAGGGAGGGGGAGAGAGAGGGAUGUCUCGCCAAGCCAGAGAGCAAGUGAAGAGAGAAAUGGAACCGAUUCUCAAAGGAGUUGCAGGGCAUCUGGGGAAGCCAGACUCCUGGGUUACAGUCAAGGCUCUGAAGAGUCUGUACUAAGUUUCACAUCCGCGUCUCCCUUCUCUUGGAUGCUUUUAGGGGGGCACCUUGGGGUCUCCUUUUCACAGCUAGAAGGACUCACCUUCACAGCACCAGAAACAAAGAUACCAGGCCUCAGUAUUACAUGCAAAAGCUGCUGGUCCAAAGGUGGACACAGAAGGAUCUGUGGUGCAGGUCUCCCAGAGAGUGUGUGGAUAAAACGAAGUCAUGAAACAAGAGAGAGAAAACAGUAGCUGAAGGACUCUCACGCCUUUGCCCCAGGGAGCCCCCCAGGGGCAGGUGGAAGCUGCACGGGGCUGAGACGUCUUUGCCGCUGUCUUAAGAGCAGUCACUGAAGACUCACAGAGCUAUUUUCACUGGAUUGUCGAGGCUGGAGUAACCUGCCCAGACCGGCCCCACCAUGUGGCUCGUCCCUUGUCCAGUGGCCUAGGACACAGGUGAACCCCUUGCUAAGCACGGAUGAGCUGUAUGUCUUUGAGAAAUCACCCCUUGUGUGGGGAAUCUUUAACUGCAAAAUGAGGCACGGAGAAAAUGAUUUCUGAAGUCCUAGGCAGCGUCAAUAUUCCAGAAUUUAAUAAGGGCCUAUAGUAGAAUAUUAGCAGGAAAAAUCCUUUGCCCUAUAUGGAAAGGUAGCUAGCAGUUUCAACAAAAAUAAGCAGUUGUGUCCCCCAUACAACCUGGCUCUUGGAGUUUAAUCAAAGCUCCUGACCUGAGUACAGUCAAAACAUGCGAUGGGGGAAGGGGUGAUGAUACAUGAACUUCCCUGUUACCCUGAUGUGUUCACCAGCUCCCAUGAGGUGAGUGUCACCUUACUGGUCACACUUAAAAUUAGUUAUUGACCAAUGACUGAGGCCCAGGUCUACGAUGAACAUUUUAUAUUGUAUUAUUAUUAUUUUUGUCUUUUGUCCUUUUAGGGCUGCACCCUCGGCAUAUGGAGGUUCCCAGGCUAGGGGGCUAAUCAGAGCUAUAGCCGCUGGCCUACACCACAGCCACAGCCACACCAGAUCUGAGCUGCAUCUUCGACCUAUACCACAGCUCACGGCCACGCCAGAUCCUUAACCCACUGAGUGAGGCCAGGGAUAGAACCUGCCACCCCAUGGUUCCUAGUUGGAUUCGUUUCCGCUGCACCACAACGGGAACUCCUGAUGAGCAUUUUAGAGGAGGCAGAAAACUAACAAUCUAUGACAUCUCUAUCUUUAGGAGAAAAAAAGAUUUAAACAUCUAUUAUUAAAAGCAAGAAAUGAAUACAAGAAAUGGAGAAUCAUGUUACAAUUUUUAAAACUUAAGAUGUGAUUACUGUUCAUUUAAAAGUUGACCAACUGUAGAAAUCAGUGGGUUAAGGGUCUAGCGUUGCUGUGAGCUGUGGUGUAAGCUGGCAGCUACAGUGCUGAUUUGACCCUGGGAAUGUCCAUAUGUCGUGGGUGUGGCAUGACAACAAAAAUAAGUAACAAUGUUAUUAUCAAAUUAUAUUGCUAAAGACAGAUACUCAUUGGCUCCGUAUAAAUGUGCAGAGUAUAUUUAUCUUAGCCUCAUUAUCCAAAGAAUUCUCUUUAGGGAAAAUGGGCCCUUUCUUGAUAAGCUAAUGAUCACUUGGUCAUUUUAGCAGCAACACAUAGACUUUAUUUUUGUUUAUUUUUCUGUAUAUUUUUAUGUAUUUGGGGGGAACUUGGGAGAUGAAGAGAACAUGUUUUCAUUCCUCAGACUGUAAGGUUCAGUAACUUCGUAUGUUUCUUGGCCACCUGUCUUUCUACACCUAUGAAUUGCCUUAUGUUUGCCCUUUUUGCUUUUGGCUUUUUCUUGUGGUUCAAAGGAGCUCUUUCUGUAUUAUUUCUCAUGUGGUUCUAUGAAAACAUUUCCUCUCUCUCUGCUCCUUGACA
rnacentral:lncRNA from 1 species